GACGAACGCUGGCGGCGUGCUUAACACAUGCAAGUCGAACGGAAAGGCCCUGCUUUUGUGGGGUGCCCGAGUGGCGAACGGGUGAGUAACACGUGGGUAACCUCCCCUUGACUUUGGGAUACCUCCGGGAAACUGGGGCUAAUGCCGGAUAGGAGCUCCUGCUGCUUGGUGGGGUUUGGAAAGUUUCGGCGGUUGGGGAUGGACUCGCGGCUUAUGAGCUUGUUGGUGGGGUAGUGGUUUACCAAGGCUUUGACGGGUAGCCGGCCUGAGAGGGUGACCGGCCACAUUGGGACUGAGAUACGGGCCAGACUCCUACGGGAGGCAGCAGUGGGGAAUAUUGCACAAUGGGCGGAAGCCUGAUGCAGCAACGCCGCGUGCGGGAUGACGGCCUUCGGGUUGUAAACCGCUUUCGCCUGUGACGAAGCGUGAGUGACGGUAAUGGGUAAAGAAGCACCGGCUAACUACGUG
rnacentral:rRNA from 1 species